GUUUGAAAGCGUACUUUCAUAUUUCUAUAAUACAUUAAUGAAUUAUGUUUAUUAUUUUGAAGUAUCUCCUGCAUAGAGGGUAUAUUGAUAGACUAUUAAAAAAAAUAAGAAAAAGAAAUCAAGUUUUGGAGAAUUUAACUACACAGUUAUAUUAAGAAUGAAAAAUAAAACCUUGUUUAAUAAGAUGUCAAGUUGGCAUAGGUGAAGUAAUCUGCAUAUUGUAAUUUAGCAGACACCUUUUGUUGCCUUUAAGCUUGCAUUAUUUUUGACAAUAAAAAAGCCUUAAUCUAUAUCUUCAUUUGCUUUUGUGUUGAAUGUAAAUGAGACAACGCAUGUAUCCUCUUCCAUAUCAAGGACUUUGGUUUCCGGUUCAAUCAUGUACAAAAUCAUAGUAUAGUUUUAUAUCUUCCCAGAGCAAACAGUUAGUUUGCAUUGUCAUCCCGUCAUAUACGAAUUUAAACAUGGACCUGUACGAAAACACGACAGAAUACAAAUUCGAUGAUCCAUGCUAUGAAAAUGGAGACACUCUGAAAGAAAAACAAAAACUACGAUUCGUUGAUAAUCACGAAAACGACACAAAAACGGUGCCUGUGUCUACAUGUUAUAAAUUCACAGGAAAUUUUAAUGAUACCGAAGACAAUUUGAAAACUAAAAGAACUACUCGUACAUAUCAUUGCUGCUGCUGUUUUCUUGGUUUUACAGUAGGAUGUGUAUUUGCGACUGGUGUCUGUGUCUCGAUAUAUUAUUUUCUCUUGCCUUAUUUAGUCCCAUUAUCAAAAGGUACACACAUGGGGUGUUUGGAAGGUUGGCAGCGGUACAAAGGAAACUGUUAUUUCUUCAGCACAUUCAAUCUGUCAUGGACAGACGCACAGACAAAUUGUACCAAUAUGUUAUCCCAUUUGACUGAUGUAAAUGACUUAGAAGAAGCUCUCUAUUUUGCAUCAUUGACAGAGUUAUUUAUAAG